rnacentral:rRNA from 1 species
CGGACGGGUGAGUAACACGUGGAUAACCUACCUAUAAGACUGGGAUAACUUCGGGAAACCGGAGCUAAUACCGGAUAAUAUAUUGAACCGCAUGGUUCAAUGGUGAAAGACGGUUUUGCUGUCACUUAUAGAUGGAUCCGCGCCGCAUUAGCUAGUUGGUAAGGUAACGGCUUACCAAGGCAACGAUGCGUAGCCGACCUGAGAGGGUGAUCGGCCACACUGGAACUGAGACACGGUCCAGACUCCUACGGGAGGCAGCAGUC